rnacentral:rRNA from 1 species
GUAGGGAAUAUUGCGCAAUGGGGGAAACCCUGACGCAGCGACGCCGCGUGAGUGAUGAAGGCCUUCGGGUCGUAAAGCUCUGUUGCAGGGGAAUAAAAAAAUGAAGGUACCCUGUGAGGAAGGAUCGGCUAACUUCGUGCCAGCAGCCGCGGUAAGACGAGGGAUCCUAGCGUUGCUCGGAAUCAUUGGGCGUAAAGAGGGCGUAGGUGGCUUGGUAAGUCAGGUGUGAAAGCCCAGGGCUCAACCCUGGAAGUGCAUUUGAUACUGCUGAGCUUGAGUGUCGGAGAGGUUACCGGAAUACCUGGUGUAGUGGUGAAAUACGUAGAUAUCAGGUGGAACACCGGAGGCGAAGGCGGGUAACUGGACGAACACUGACACUGAGGCCCGAAAGCGUGGGGAGCAAACAGGAUUAGAAACCCUGGUAGUCC